rnacentral:tRNA from 1 species
ACUAUUUUGGCAGAUAAGUGUAUUAGAUUUAGAAUCUAAAAAUGUGGGUUAAUCCCGUAGAUAGUA